AUUCAGGAGUUUGCUUGAUUUGUUCAUUUAUACCUCACCUUUCAAGAGAAAUCUUUCUGGGUGUCAUGAAUAUAAAAUAAUAAUAAUAAUGACGACACUUGAGUCUUUUAACUACAGAAAUAAUGUGCCAGAGAAACACUCAAGCUUUGGAAAUCAAUGGAUGUGCCUUUAAAGGCACUGAACCAAUUCAACACUUUGGUCCUGGCUUGCAACUUCUCCACAAGGCUGUUAAGCCAAGGCUGCGGCAUUAUCUCGUUGCUGUGACAGCUGGAAAUCAAGAAACCUCAUCAGCUGCAAAGCCUGAGAAAGAUCUCACAACAAAAGAAAUAGUGCAUGUGAGCAAGUCCGUUCAGACAUCCUUAGGUGAAGAGAACAAUUUGGUAAGCAAGCUUAAAAUGCUGCAGAAGGAAAACCUACAGCUCAAAAAUGCCUUACAAGAAAAGGAGUCAUCCAUAGCCAAGCUAAUGAAAGUAAUUGAAGACCAGACUACCAAGNACAACACAGAAACGGAAUUGGAAAAAGAACGUAAAAAAAAGACAGACAUGCAGAUAAAAGAACUGGAGCUUUUAGUCAAUGAGAAGAUCCAAAUGCAAGGUGAAACUGUAACAUAUUACAGAAAAAUAAUUCAAGAACAGCAAAUGCAGCAUACAGAACUGCUGUUCNAA
ensembl:lncRNA